GACAAAAAAUCCCGCCAAUCACAAAUUACUGAAGCUGAAAUAACCACCGAUAGCUUUCAGAUAAAUUUGGAUUUACCUAAGCAAUUGCAUGAAUAUUCGCAACUUCAGGAAAGAUUGAAACAGCUUGCUCGAGAAGCUAAAAUAUCGAAACAAGAGGUGAAAGAAUUUAAACAGAAAA